AUGGAGAGCCCCGUGAAGGAGGAGGUCGGCGGGGAGCUGGCCAUGGAGAUCGAGUCCAGCGUCACGGCCGAGGACUGGCGCCGCGCGCUCUCCCGCGUCGUGCCCGCCGUCGCCGUCCUCCGCACCACCGCGCCGCGCGCCUUCGACACCGAGGUUGCCGGCGCCAGCUACGCCACCGGCUUCGUCGUCGACAAGGCCCGCGGCAUCAUCCUCACCAAUCGCCACGUCGUCAAGCCCGGUCCUGUGGUCUCGGAGGCGAUGUUCGUGAACCGGGAGGAGAUCCCUGUGUACCCCCUGUACAGAGACCCUGUACAUGAUUUUGGUUUUUUCCGCUAUGACCCAGGUGCCAUAAAGUUCCUCAAGUAUGAGGAGAUCCCUCUAGACCCUGAAGCAGCAUCUGUUGGGCUAGAAAUCCGAGUUGUCGGCAAUGACAGCGGCGAAAAGGUUUCAAUUUUGGCGGGAACACUUGCUCGACUGGAUAGAGAAGCGCCUCACUACAAGAAGGACGGGUACAAUGAUUUCAACACAUUCUAUAUGCAGGCUGCAUCUGGAACUAAAGGUGGCUCUAGUGGUUCCCCAGUUGUUGAUUGCCAAGGAAGAGCUGUUGCCCUGAAUGCUGGAAGCAAAUCUUCCAGUGCUUCUGCUUUUUUCCUUCCAUUAGAACGUGUUGUUAGGGCACUGAAUUUGAUACGUGAUUGUUGGGAUGCAUUUGGUAUCAAGUCAGAAUCUGUUUAUAUUCCUCGUGGUACACUGCAGAUGACCUUUCAACACAAAGGAUUUGAAGAAACUCGGCGUCUUGGACUGAGGAAUGAGACAGAGCAGAUGGUACGCCUUGUUUCUCCAGCAGGCGAAACUGGAAUGCUGGUUGUUGACUCUGUGGUGCCAGAAGGACCUGCACAUAAACAUUUGGAACCUGGUGAUGUGCUAGUUCACAUCAAUGGGGAGGUUGUAACCCAGUUUCUCGCAAUGGAGACUUUACUUGAUGACAGCGUCGGCAAGGAGGUAAAUUUGCAGAUUGAAAGAGGUGGAGUGCCUUUGACAGUAAAGUUAGAGGUUGAGGAUUUGCACUCUAUAACUCCAAAUCAUUUCUUGGAAGUCAGUGGUGCUGUCAUCCAUCCACUUUCAUACCAGCAGGCUAGAAACUUCCGCUUCAAAUGUGGUCUUGUAUAUGUUGCCGAGGCAGGGUACAUGCUCUCUCGGGCAUCGGUUCCACGCCAUUCAAUUAUCAAAAAGUUUGCGGGAGAGGAUAUUGAAAAUUUAGAUGACCUUAUUGCAGUUAUUUCAAAGCUGUCUAGGGGAGCACGAGUGCCUCUCGAAUAUGUAAAGUACACUGACCGUUAUCGGAACAAGUCUGUACUGGUGACAAUUGAUCAACACGGUUGGUAUGCGCCUCCUCAGUUGUACACUCGAAAUGACGCAACUGGUCUGUGGAAUGCAAAGUUGGCUAUACCGCUUGAAUCUCCCUUUGUAGUUUCUCAUCGUGCCGGCCAUAUGGAUGCAAACUUAAAUUCCAUUUCACCUUUGACUGAAUCAAGUCCUAUGGAUCUCAAAUGCCAGCACGAGUCUGAAAAUACGGCAGAUGGAUGCGUAAAAAUGCAAACAGAUGAGGAGAUUGCCGUAGAUGGAUCCCACUCUGGCGAAGAUUCCAUCAUUGAGAAAAAAAGGCGCCGGGUGGAUGAGGAGAUAGCUGCUGAGGGAACUAUAUCAUCUUUUGGAGAUUUAGAUGACAUAAAAGAUGGCGCAUUGAGGCAUCCUUCCAGUGUGGAAGUCUCUGACCUUGCUCGGACAAUAUCAAGUAAUGCUUCAUUGGCAGAACAAGUAAUUGAGCCAGCUCUUGUAAUGUUUGAGGUGCAUGUGCCACCAAUAUGCAUGCUUGAUGGAGUGCAUUCUCAACAUUUCUUUGGAACCGGUGUGAUAAUAUAUCAUUCUGACUGCCUAGGUCUGGUUGCCGUCGAUAGGAAUACAGUUGCUGUAUCUAUCUCUGAUAUAAUGCUCUCUUUUGCUGCAUAUCCCAUUGAAAUACCUGCAGAGGUUGUUUUUCUGCAUCCUGUUCAUAAUUUUGCAUUGGUUGCCUAUGAUCCUUCUGCACUGGGAGCUGGUGCAUCUGUUAUUCGAGCUGCUAAGCUUCUUCCUGAACCUGCCUUGCGCCGAGGAGAUUCUGUCUACCUAGUUGGGCUAAGUAGAAGCUUACAGGCUACAUCAAGGAAAUCAACCAUAACUAAUCCUUGCACGGCUGUUAAUAUUGGCUCAGCUGACUGCCCACGAUAUCGUGCAAUAAAUAUGGAGGUCAUUGAGCUUGAUACUGAUUUCGGUAGCUCAUUUUCGGGUAUAUUGACGGAUGAGCAAGGAAGAGUUCAAGCGUUAUGGGCAAGCUUUUCCACCCAGAUCAAAAGAAAAAAGAAAAGCACAAAACGGCAGCUUACGCCCAAGCUCAAAUAUGGUUGUAGCAGUUCAGAGGACCAUCAGUUCGUUAGAGGUAUACCAAUAUAUGCAAUAAGUCAAGUCCUUGAGAAGAUAAUCUCGGGUACUCCUGGACCAUUUCGUCUUAUCAAUGGAAUUCGAAGGCCAAUGCCACUUGUCAGACUUCUGGAGGUGGAACUUUAUCCAACUUUGCUCUCGAAAGCAAGAAGCUAUGGAUUGAGCGAUAACUGGGUGCAGGCUCUCGCUAAGAAGGACCCUGUGCGCAGACAAGUCUUGCGGGUCAAAGGUUGUUUGGCUGGAUCAAAGGCGGAAAAGCUUCUGGAACAGGGAGAUAUGAUUCUGGCUAUCAACAAGGAACCAAUAACAUGCUUUCUUGACAUCGAGAAUGCUUGCCAAAAGUUGGACCAAUCUAUCGAUUCAGAUGGCGUGCUUAACAUGACAAUAUUUCGUCAGGGAAAAGAAAUUGACCUUAUUGUUGGAACCGAUGUAAGAGAUGGUAAUGGUUCAACAAGGAUGGUGAAUUGGUGUGGAUCCAUAAUUCAGGAUCCUCAUUCAGCAGUGCGUGCACUUGGUUUCUUGCCCAAGGAAGGUCAUGGAGUUUAUGUUGCUAGAUGGUGCCAUGGAAGUCCCGUACAUAGAUAUGGUCUUUAUGCUCUCCAGUGGAUAGUUGAAGUUAACGGGCAACCAACCCCAGAUCUUGAGUCCUUUAUUGAAGUGGUGAAGGGAUUGGAAGACCGUGAGUUUGUUAGGGUGAAGACUGUCCACUUGAACGGAAAACCACGUGUGCUCACUCUGAAGCAGGACCUUCACUACUGGCCGACCUGGGAGCUCACUUUUGAACCGGAGUCCGACACAUGGAAGAGGAGAACAAUAAAGGCGUUGCAGCCAACCGGGGCUUGA
rnacentral:rRNA from 1 species